AUUGAUAUUUUGUUCAUUCAUAAAAAUGCUUUCCUCAAUGCUCAGUCACGUGACUUCUCUCCAAUUCUAGAAUCAACUUUUAUCUCUUUUGUUGGAUGGAAAAACAUAGCCGCUCUUCCCCACUCUUCUACUACUCUAAAGUGCUUUUUGUGAGUUCUCUUCAUUUCAGAUUAGCUUUAUUCUCAAUUCCCUCCCCCCCCCCCCCCAAAUUUCUUUUCUUCCCUAAUUUCUUUCAGUAUUCUUCAGACUUCUGAAUUCACGAUUGAAAAUUAUGGAUGAUGUCUUUAUUAAUCUUUCUAAUUCUCUUUCCAAUUUCAUGUGAAGGUUUUUCAAUUGUCAUCCUCGCAUAACUGCAAUAUUUUCUUUAUAGUUGCAGAUUUAUUUUUCAAAAAGAAAAUAGAUUUGUGCGUUGUGCCCUUCUCUCGGUUAGCUUCGCCCUUGUAGCCGGUGAGUUUGCCAUUAUUUUUUCCUUUUUGUUUAUUUCAUUGUUCCGGUAUAAUUGUUUUUAUAAUUUUAAUUGGCUAUUUGUUAUUAUUGUUUUAGAUGGGUCAUUUAUGUAAAAUAAGGUUGUUUUAUGGCAGCUCAAAGCUUUGGAAAAGAUUUAUUUUUGACAAAGAUUCUCCGUUUGUGUUUAAUUUUUUUUUAAAUAUAUUUUUUUAAUGAGCAUUUACUCUUGUAAUUCUAUGUGGCUCCACUUAUGUUAAACAAAAUUGUUGGCUCCACUUAUGUUAAACAAAAUUGUUUUGGCAGCUCAGAAAUUGAGAAAAUUCAGUUCUUGAAGAGUCAAAUUCUUUUUUUAUUUUAUUUUAUUUAAAUUAUGAAAGUUUAUGUGAAAUGAUUUAGCGAAAGAAGAGUAUUCUGGUAGCUCGGGUGGUGGGACGAUUCCGUUCUUUAAGACUAAUAUGUUUAUCUAGCUUGUGCUCUUAGUUGUCGCGUGCACAUUGACUUCUAUGUUCGACCGUAUACAAUUUUACUAUGUCUUAUAGUUGUGUGUCUACAUGCAGUAAAAUUAAAGAGUUUCUUUUCUUUAGCAUUGGAUGUUGUCAAAUUCUAACUUCAUGUCCAGAUGAAAGAGAAAAGGAAUUGUUGUUUCUGGUUUGACAUUCAGAGCAGAAUAUCGAAUUAAUGAAUGAAGUCGCAAAUGACUUAUGCUUGGUUGCACACACUGAAUAAUUAUUAUCUUGAAUAAUAUAUGUAUAUUAUCGUGGUGUAUCCGUAAUUUUUAAGUCCGUUGUUAAAAAAAUUGAUGCGCUUUUUUCAUGUUGUGUCUCAAAUUCUAAAGUUUAAUGCUAAGAUAGAGAUAGAUAUCUUGAGAAUUCCUUUGCCAUGGAACAGUUUUCGAAUUUAUAACUUUUAAGUUUCAUGUAUUUUAUUAUUUGUUGCUUUAAAAACACUUGAUUAGUGAUUUGCAACUUUAGUAAGUAUUUCUGUAAUUUCAGCUGAUUUUAAAUUAAUUUUUUUUUUCUCUAAUAACACACAUGUCCUUCUUCAUUAUUUUCCAUCUAGAAUUCUCUAUAGCUCAGUCCUCUAACUAGCUUUCUUUCACUACUAUAUUGUUAAUUGUAUACUAUUACUAAGUUCUAGCAACAAUUAUCUACAAUUAGUAUUAGACCUUUCUUGCUAACAUUUCUUUAUCCUUCAUUUCCUUCUCUAGGGAUUUGCACUUCCUUUUAUCUAAUCAGAAUUCGAACACACUUUUGUAUUUCACAAUUCGGGAGAAAGUUGUGUGCUACUGCUUGCUGAAUAUCUGUGCUGAUUAAAAAAAUAUUCCCAUUGACUCAUGCAGGAUGGAACACAUUGGAAGAAAAGGUUAAAUUAUGUAAAUUUUUAAUAGUCAUAGUUCUAUUUUCUAGCACCGAAGUUGAUGUUUUAGCAUGAAGGGUUGCAGAAAUUUAGUUUUGUCCCGGUGUAAUUUUCCUAUACACCUUACGCAAUCAUUUUUAUUCAAUGAAUGACAUAUUCAUGGACCAUGCUUUUUCUUUCUUUCAGAAAAUUAUGAUUAUAAGUUUUAGCCGUUUUUCUGAAAGCACCUUUUAGGUGAGGUUUUUACCGUAAAUUUGAUCCAUGAAUACAUUACCAAAUUAGUUUGGGGAUGUUGUGUUUAGUUAUCUUCACAAAAUAUCUACAAAUCUG
rnacentral:lncRNA from 1 species